rnacentral:rRNA from 1 species
UACAGAGGUCUCAAGCGUUGUUCGGAUUCAUUGGGCGUAAAGGGUGCGUAGGCGGCGCGGUAAGUCGGGGGUGAAAUCUCGGAGCUUAACUCCGAAACUGCAUUCGAUACUGCCGUGCUUGAGGACUGGAGAGGAGACUGGAAUUUACGGUGUAGCGGUGAAAUGCGUAGAUAUCGUAAGGAAGGCCGGUGGCGAAAGCGAGCCUCUGGACAGUUACUGACGCUGAUGCACGAAGGCCAGGGGAGCAAACGGG